ensembl:snoRNA snoRNA:Me28S-G3253
CCUGACCUGAUGAACUGUAUUAAAAAAUAUAUUCUGACACUUCUUGUCUGAUAAAAUACGUUGACGUUAACAAAUACACACUGAAGAG